rnacentral:rRNA from 1 species
GAUGAACGCUGGCGGCGUGCCUAAUACAUGCAAGUCGAGCGAACAGACGAGGAGCUUGCUCCUCUGACGUUAGCGGCGGACGGGUGAGUAACACGUGUAUAACCUACCUAUAAGACUGGGAUAACUUCGGGAAACCGGAGCUAAUACCGGAUAAUAUAUUGAACCGCAUGGUUCAAUAGUGAAAGACGGUUUUGCUGUCACUUAUAGCUGGAUCCGCGCCGCAUUAGCUAGUUGGUAAGGUAACGGCCUACCAAGGCGACGAUGCGUAGCCGACCUGAGAGGGGGAUCGGCCACACUGGAACUGAGACACGGUCCAGACUCCUACGGGAGGCAGCAGUAGGGAAUCUUCCGCAAUGGGCGAAAGCUUGACGGAGCAACGCCGCGUGAGUGAUGAAGGUCUUCGGAUCGUAAAACUCUGUUAUUAGGGAAGAACAAAUGUGUAAGUAACUAUGCACGUCUUGACGGUACCUAAUCAGAAAGCCACGGCUAACUACGUG